GUGCAGGUGCGGUCCCACACGUGUUUUUCCUCUCCCCAGGCCCUCUCUCUAUCUGCCUAACCAGCGUCCGACUGCCUCCUCUAUCAAAGGUUCCUCUUCCUUUCAAAUAUCAGACAGCAAACAAAGAAUGUUGGGGCCACACAAGCAGAGAACACCAUGUCUUCAGAUCUCUUCACAGCCUUGUCCUCCAGAGUUUAGAAGUGGAGGGAAAAGAUUAAAGGCAAUCUUCUUGUUUUGCUAUUUGUCCUUGGACCUAAUCUGGACCUAAUUUGGACACACAGGCUGUAACUAUGUGUUUUUCUCCUUUGGUGUGGGGCACUGUGAGUUUAAGCACCAAUCACAUGCAUCCACAUCUAACUGCACUUCUGUUCCCAGAACGAAGGCCGUGAGUGUGAGUUGUCCAGGUCCUUGGCAACAAAGAAUUGAACAAAAUGCACAAAGUAACAAAGGAACAAAACAGAGGGAGGAAGCAUCAAAAGCGGAAAUUUAUUAAGACUGGAGAUGUUGGAAAAAAG
rnacentral:lncRNA from 1 species